GACGAACGCUGGCGGCAUGCCUAACACAUGCAAGUCGAACGGAGAAUUCCUUCGGGAAUUCUUAGUGGCGAACGGGUGAGUAACGCGUAGGCAACCUGCCCUUUGGAUGGGGACAACAUUCCGAAAGGAGUGCUAAUACCGAAUGUGACGAUUUUACCGCAUGGUUUAAUCGUGAAAGAUGGCCUCUACAUGUAAGCUAUCGCCAAAGGAUGGGCCUGCGUCUGAUUAGAUAGUUUGGUGGGGUAACGGCUCACCAAGGCGACGAUCAGUAGCCGGUCUGAGAGGAUGAACGGCCACAUUGGGACUGAGACACGGCCCAGACUCCUACGGGAGGCAGCAGUGGGGAAUCUUCCGCAAUGGACGAAAGUCUGACGGAGCAAUGCCGCGUGAGUCGAUGAAGGUCUUCGGAUCGUAAACCUCUGUCAAGAGGGAAGAACAAGCAACGUGCUAAUCAGCGUUGCCCUGACGGUACCUCUAGAGGAAGCACCGGCUAACUCCG
rnacentral:rRNA from 1 species